rnacentral:rRNA from 1 species
UACGAAGGGUGCAAGCGUUACUCGGAAUUACUGGGCGUAAAGCGUGCGUAGGUGGUUUGUUAAGUCUGCUGUGAAAGCCCCGGGCUCAACCUGGGAAUGGCAGUGGAUACUGGCAAGCUAGAGUGCGGUAGAGGGUAGUGGAAUUCCCGGUGUAGCGGUGAAAUGCGUAGAGAUCGGGAGGAACACCAGUGGCGAAGGCGGCACCCUGGACCAGCACUGACACUGAGGCACGAAAGCGUGGGGAGCAAACAGG